CCUACGGGUGGCAGCAGUGGGGGAUAUUGCACAAUGGGGGGAACCCUGAUGCAGCAACGCCGCGUGAGUGAAGGAGCGUUUCGGCGCGUAAAGCCCUAUCAGCAGGGAAGAAGAAGGACGGUACCUGACUAAGAAGCCCGGCCAACUACGUGCCAGCAGCCGCGGGAAUACGUAGGGGGCAAGCGUUAUCCGGAUUUACUGGGGGUAAAGGGGGCGGAGACGGCUGUGCAAGUCUGGAGUGAAAGCCCGGGGCCCAACCCCGGGACGGAUUUGGGAACUGGGAGGCUGGAGUGCAGGAGAGGCAGGCGGAAUUCCUGGUGUAGCGGUGAAAUGCGUAGAUAUCAGGAGGAACACCAGUGGCGAAGGCGGCCUGCUGGACUGCGACUGACGUUGAGGCCCGAAAGCGUGGGGAGCAAACAGGAUUAGAUACCCUUGUAGUC
rnacentral:rRNA from 1 species